GUUGUAUGGUUAAGUGACUAAGCGUACACGGUGGAUGCCUUGGCAGUCAGAGGCGAUGAAAGACGUAGUAACUUGCGAUAAGCCCAGAUUAGGUAGUAACAACCAUUUGAGUCUGGGAUUUCUGAAUGGGGAAACCCACGUGCAUAAGCACGUAUCCUUACCUGAAUACAUAGGGUAAGGAGGCGAACCGGGGGAACUG
rnacentral:rRNA from 1 species